UAGGCCAUUGCGAAUUCCCUUGUCUGGGUA
rnacentral:piRNA from 1 species